rnacentral:rRNA from 1 species
ACGAACGCUGGCGGCGUGCCUAAUCCAUGCAAGUUGAGCGCUGAAGGUUGGUACUUGUACCAACUGGAUGAGCAGCGAACGGGUGAGUAACGCGUGGGGAAUCUGCCUUUGAGCGGGGGACAACAUUUGGAAACGAAUGCUAAUACCGCAUAAAAACUUUAUACACAAGUUUUAAGUUUGAAAGAUGCAAUUGCAUCACUCAAAGAUGAUCCCGCGUUGUAUUAGCUAGUUGGUGAGGUAAAGGCUCACCAAGGCGAUGAUACAUAGCCGACCUGAGAUGGUGAUCGGCCACAUUGGGACUGAGACACGGCCCAAACGCCUACGGGAGGCAGCAGUAGGGAAUCUUCGGCAAAGGACGAAAGUCUGACCGAGCAACGCCGCGGGAGUGAAGAAGGUUUUCGGAUCGGAAAACUCUGUUGGUAGAGAAGAACGUUGGUGAGAGUGGAAAGCUCAUCAAGUGACGGUAACUACCCAGAAAGGGACGGCUAACUACGUG